CACUCCUACGGGAGGCAGCAGUGGGGAAUAUUGCACAAUGGGCGCAAGCCUGAUGCAGCCAUGCCGCGUGUAUGAAGAAGGCCUUCGGGUUGUAAAGUACUUUCAGCGGGGAGGAAGGCAAUACGGUUAAUAACCGUGUUGAUUGACGUUACCCGCAGAAGAAGCACCGGCUAACUCCGUGCCAGCAGCCGCGGUAAUACGGAGGGUGCAAGCGUUAAUCGGAAUUACUGGGCGUAAAGCGCACGCAGGCGGUCUGUCAAGUCGGAUGUGAAAUCCCCGGGCUCAACCUGGGAACUGCAUUCGAAACUGGCAGGCUUGAGUCUUGUAGAGGGGGGUAGAAUUCCAGGUGUAGCGGUGAAAUGCGUAGAGAUCUGGAGGAAUACCGGUGGCGAAGGCGGCCCCCUGGAUAAAGACUGACGCUCAGGUGCGAAAGCGUGGGGAGCAAACAGGAUUAGAUACCCCUGUAGUCCCA
rnacentral:rRNA from 1 species